rnacentral:misc_RNA from 1 species
GAUGAAGAACGUAGCGAAACGCGAUAGGUAAUGUGAAUUGCAGAAUUCCGUGAAUCAUCGAAUCUUUGAACGCACCUUGCGCCCUUUGGCCAUUCCGAAGGGCAUGCCUGUUUGAGUAUCAUGAACACCUCAACUCUUUAUGGUUUUCCAUGAUGAGCUUGGACUCUGGGGGUUUUGCUGGCUCACAGUCGGCUCCUCUAAAAUGAAUCAGCUUACCAGUGUUUGGUGGGUAUCAUGGGUGUGAUAACUAUCUACGCUUGUGGUUUUUCCACCAGGUAACCUUCAGCAGUGGAGGUUCGCUGGAGCUCAUAGAUGUCUCUCCUCAGUGAGGACAGCCCUUUGAAUGUUUGAUCUCAAAUCAGGUAGGACUACCCGCUGAACUUAAGCAUAUCAAUAAGCGGAGGA